AGAACGAACGCUGGCGGCAGGCUUAACACAUGCAAGUCGAGCGCAUCCUUCGGGGUGAGCGGCAGACGGUGAGUAACGCGUGGGAAUCUACCCAUCUCUACGGAAUAACGCAUGGAAACGUGUGCUAAUACCGUAUACGCCCUUUUGGGGAAAGAUUUAUCGGAGAUGGAUGAGCCCGCGUUGGAUUAGCUAGUUGGUGGGGUAAAGCCUACCAAGGCGACGAUCCAUAGCUGGUCUGAGAGGAUGAUCAGCCACA
rnacentral:rRNA from 1 species